rnacentral:rRNA from 1 species
AUUGAACGCUGGCGGCAGGCCUAACACAUGCAAGUCGAGCGCGAAAGGCUUUCGGGCUGAGUAGAGCGGCGGACGGGUGAGUAACGCGUAGGAAUCUACCUGGUAGUGGGGGACAACUUGGGGAAACUCAAGCUAAUACCGCAUACGCCCUAUGGGGGAAAGCGGGGGACCUUCGGGCCUCGCGCUAUCAGAUGAGCCUGCGUAGGAUUAGCUAGUUGGUGAGGUAAAGGCUCACCAAGGCGACGAUCCUUAGCUGGUCUGAGAGGAUGAUCAGCCACACUGGGACUGAGACACGGCCCAGACUCCUACGGGAGGCAGCAGUGGGGAAUAUUGCGCAAUGGGGGCAACCCUGACGCAGCCAUGCCGCGUGUGUGAAGAAGGCCUUCGGGUUGUAAAGCACUUUAAGUGGGGAGAAAAGGGUAGCGGUUAAUAGCCGUUACCUGUGAUGUUACCCACAGAAUAAGCACCGGCUAACUCCGUGCCAGCCGCCGCGGUAACAC